rnacentral:rRNA from 1 species
CAAUAGCGUAUAUUAAAGUUGUUGCAGUUAAAAAGCUCGUAGUUGGAUUUCGGGGCAGCCUGGCUGGUCCGCCGCAAGGCGAGUACUGGUCAGCCGCCCUUCCUCUCGAAAGCCCCGACUGCUCUUCGUUGCAGUGGCCGGGUAGUUCGGGACGUUUACUUUGAAAAAAUUAGAGUGUUCAAGGCAGGCCUACGCCUGAAUACAUUAGCAUGGAAUAAUGGAAGAGGACCUCGGUCCUAUUUUGUUGGUUUCCAGGGCCGAAGUAAUGAUUAAGAGGGACAGUUGGGGGCAUUCGUAUUUAAUUGUCAGAGGUGAAAUUCUCGGAUUAUGAAAGACGAACAACUGCGAAAGCAUUUGCCAAGGAUGUUUUCAUUAA